GAGGCAGAGGAUCCCAGGGGCAGGCUCCUCGCUGCACACCCACUGCGCGCGGGCCCGUCACAGACGCCGUCUCUGCUGACUGUCCUCCUCCCAGUGCACAGAGGGAAACGCAGGCUCAGGGCAGCACGAGGCUCGCAUGCGGCAAGGCUGGGGCUGGAGUCCGGCCGGCACGCCUGCCACGUAGUACUUGCUUGCCAAGCUCCGGGCUCUGCCAGGCCCUGUGUCUGUGCCCCGACCUCCCUCCACCCACCCCCGCGUCCCGGCUGCAAGAGGCAGGUCCCAGGUCCUGAGGGGACCCAGGGACCAUCAGAGUCUCCCCAUAACUUUAGCUCUUGCUACACCCCCACACCAAGUCCCUUGAAGGGAAAGAAACAAGAAAGGAAGACCCGCUGCCUGGUUUCUUGUGGCUCCAAAAUCUUCCUCUUGUCAUCAACUCAGGUGCGUUCACUGAGACCGUCACGGGGGAGGGAGGACAGCCGCAGUGGUGACCGUCGGCUGUGUCCCCAUCUCUGCGUCAGACCACAGGGUGUCCAGCCCAGGAGGAGGCCCCGAGCUCACACCCCUGCUCCUGGCAGGCAGGCUGAGCACAUGUCCCCUGCAGGGCCCUCAGCGCCUCAGAAGGCCUGUGCCCGACAGGAGAGCAGCUCACCCUGCGGGGUCUCUGCCCGGGGGACCUUCUGGCUGGACUGCAUUUCCUGGCAGCUGAGGGUCUGUCCGAGGGGCCACCAGGCAAAUGGCCACUUGUGUAAAGUGCCAUUUCCGCCAUAUUGGGGAAGGGAGAGUGAUCGGCCAUGUCACGUGGUCCUGGCAGGGGGAAGCGAUGACCUCCAAAGGACAGAGCAUCUACUAAGGUCCAACUCUGCACAGGCCCCAGGCCGGGUGCUUGGCCCCAUCCCCUCCCUCCGUCCUCAGAGCCACCCUGGGAUAGGCUGCGUCAUACUGAGGCGCAGAGAAGCCAGUGAACUGCCCAAAGUCCCUCUGCCUUGGGUGGCACCAUUGGGACAUGAAGCAGGUGCUGCAGGAUGCUGGUCCUCACUUCUGCCAGCAGCACCAAGGGACACCAGGCCAUCUCCUGGCAGGUCUGCUGAGGGGCACAAAACCUAG
rnacentral:lncRNA from 1 species